AAGACUAUACUUUCAGGGAUCAUUUCUAUAGUUUGUUACUAGAGAAGUUUCAGACAAGCAAAAACUGAGAGAAUUCAGC
ensembl:snoRNA U3 Small nucleolar RNA U3